AGCAAAUUGUCCCUGUGUUCUGAGACUGAGCACAGGCACUAUUGUUCGGUCUUUCUACCCACACUCAUUGAGUUCACCAGCCUGAUUUGAUGGGAGAAGCCUGCAUUCACAGCCAGUCUGUAGUCGAGCUUGGCUCAGCCCUGUGUCCUGCCAACUCGAAUUCCACUUCAAUUCUUUUUCCUCCCACUGUCUUAUUUGCCAUCAUGUGUUGGACGGCAACAGGAGAGUCAGCCCUCACAGGCACUGUGAAACAGCUGAAGGUUUUAGCCCGUGCGGCAAGUAGCUGUGCCAUGUAGGAGAUGAAAAACCAAGGAUUCCUUCAAAGUUAACAGAGAUCAGCUUUGACCUGUGGAGACCUCCUAAGGAUCUUGGCUAGAGACAUGAAGGAAAAAAAAAAAAAACAAGAAAAACUACAGGACAGAUCCAGAGUUUUGGUGCUCCUAACAAUGGUGGUGCAACAGAGAUACAAAAAAAUGAAGGGAUGGACUCUAAGAAGCUUGGAGAAGAGUUUAUAAGAUGAAAGAAGGGAAACAUGAAGGGAUAACCUUAGAUUUCUGCUUUAAGAAAUCAUUUGAGGCCGGGCGGUGGUGGCGUACACCUUUAAUCCCAGUACUAGGGAAGCAGAGGCAGGUGGAUUUUCGUGAGUUCGAGACCAGCCUUGUCUACAAGAGCUAGUUCCAG
rnacentral:lncRNA from 1 species